UACGAAGGGGGCUAGCGUUGUUCGGAUUUACUGGGCGUAAAGCGCACGUAGGCGGAUUGUUAAGUCAGGGGUGAAAUCCCGAGGCUCAACCUCGGAACUGCCUUUGAUACUGGCAAUCUUGAGGCUGGAAGAGGUUGGUAGAAUUCCCAGUGUAGAGGUGAAAUUCGUAGAUAUUGGGAAGAAUACCAGUGGCGAAGGCUGCCAACUGGUCCAGAUCUGACGCUGAGGUGCGAAAGCGUGGGGUGCAAACAGG
rnacentral:rRNA from 1 species